rnacentral:lncRNA from 1 species
GAAAAGACCACGGAACGCAGUCGAGUGAGCAUCUCCGUCACGGCGUGAACUGCUGUGCACUAGUCGUCAACAACUGCCUUCUUCAUUGUACAAUUAAUUCGCAAACAUGGUUUGUAAUUGUCUAGUUGAUUAUGGCGUCUUGCUGCCGUUGGGUGUUGUAUCGUUGAUAGCUGGGUCGACCACCGGUGUGCUGAUGACUCCUGGGUAUGGCGGAUAUCAAACUGCAACGCCGCCUUAACUACACAAGCAGUUACUACUACGAGCCCCCCAAGUACUACACCACCAAGGCUCCAUAUUAUUACACCACAACUCAUGCUGUCCUGAGUUACUACACCGAAUCUCCGCAGUAUUAUUCUUCCCCGAGCCACACUACCAAAGAGUCGAGUACUACACUAAGGCACAGGAGUACUGCACCAACAAGGCGCCGGAGUACUACACAACUAUGUAUACUGCCCCAGCUUACUACACCGAGGCUCCCAAGUACUACACUACCCAGGACCGGGGUACUGCUCACCUACAUAUCAUGGACGUAUAAAAGGAGAGAAAAGGCAAUAGAAAUCAGUCGAUUGGUCAUCUCAUCUCCGACACGGCAACAACUGCAGUGAGUGCACUGCAGACUAUUCGUCAUCAACUCUUCAACUGCAUUCUUCAUCGUACUAUCAGUUCACAAUCAUGGUUAACUAUGGCGUUGUGCUGCUGUUACAUGUCAUCGUUUAUGGUUGGAUCGACGGGUAUGACGAUUUCUCCUGGGUAUGACGAGCAUCAACAAAAACAUGCGCAACAACCUGUAACUACACAGAGGCCCCCAGGUACUACACCACCAGGGCUCCAGAAGAUUACACCACAAUUUAUGCAGCCCCGAGCUUCUACGCUGAAUGCCCGCAGUAUUAUUCUUCCCCUAGCUACCAACGAGUUAAGCACUACACCGAGGCUCCGAAUUAUUACACCAUGAAGGCACCGGAGUACCACAACUACGUAUGCUGCGCCAGCUUACAAUACCUAGGCUCCCAACUAACAUCUGCUCCCAGCUACUACACCGAGGCUCCAGCUACUACACCGAGGCUCCAGCUACUACACCGAGGCUCCAGCUACUACACCGAGGCUCCAGCUACUACACCGAGGCUCCAGCUACUACACCGAGGCUCCAGCUACUACACCGAGGCUCCAGCUACUACACCGAGGCUCCAGCUACUACACCGAGGCUCCAGCUACUACACCGAGGCUCCAGCUACUACACCGAGGCUCCAGCUACUCAACCACGACUGAUGCGGUCAAGUAUUACGUAGCCACAACUUUCUACUCAACCGCUGCCUACGCUGCCCCUUCGUAUUACGUUAAACCGAAAUACUGCACCGAAGCUCCAGUUUACUACACCAUAACCUACGCUAUACCCAGCUACUACACCGAAUCUCCGAAGUAUUACUCUACCCAUAGUAACUACACCACCACAGCAUAAGUCACCUGAAUAUUCUACCAAGACCUACGCGUCUCCAGAUUGCUAGAAGGAGGCUUCUAAAUACCAGGGCUGAAAUUGCGAAUAUGUUUUAUGUACAGAUUUUCUGCCAUAUAAUAAUAGUUAGUCACUGGAAAUUGUUGUUGUUCUUCAGUGAGAAAAUAAAUUUUUUCAUCUGAGUAA